UUCGUGUGAACAGUGGUUGAUCACGAGUUAGUCGGUCCUAAGUUCAAGGCGAAAGCCGAAAAUUUUCAAGUUAAUAAUAAAAAACAAAUAACAAUGUAUGUAACUUAUGUAAUUUUAUGUAUUAUGCACUUGAAUAAUUUUGAACGAAAGGGAAUACGGUUCCAAUUCCGUAACCUGUUGAGUAUCCGUUUGUUAUUAAAUAUGGGCCUCGUGCUCAUCCUGGCAACAGGAACGACCAUAAAGAAGCCGUCGAGAGAUAUCGGAAGAGUUUUCUUUUCUGUUUUAUAGCCGUACUACCAUGGAAGUCUUUCGCAGAGAGAUAUGGUAGAUGGGCUAGAAGAGCAUGACAUAUACUGUUGUGUCGAUAUUUUCUCCUCGGACCUUGAAAAUUUAUGGUGGGGUUACGCAAACUUCUCAACAGGCCGUACCAAUAUCCGCAGCUGGUCUCCAAGGUGAAGAGUCUCUAGUCGAUAGAAUA
rnacentral:rRNA from 1 species